rnacentral:rRNA from 1 species
UACGGAGGGUGCAAGCGUUAAUCGGAAUUACUGGGCGUAAAGCGCGCGUAGGCGGCUGGGUAAGUCGAUUGUGAAAGCCCCGGGCUCAACCUGGGAAUUGCAGUCGAGACUGCUCAGCUAGAGUGUGGGAGAGGGUGGUGGAAUUCCCGGUGUAGCGGUGAAAUGCGUAGAUAUCGGGAGGAACAUCUAAGGCGACGGCGACCACCGAGAUCUACACUGACGCUGAGGUGCGAAAGCGUGGGUAGCAAACAGG